GACGAACUGUGCAAACGUUAUUCGGAAUCACUGGGCUUAAAGGGUGCGUAGGCGGUCUUGUAAGUAGGGUGUGAAAGCCCCCGGCUCAACCGGGGAACUGCGUCCUAAACUGCGAGGCUUGAGUGAGGUAGGGGUGUGUGGAACUUCCAGUGGAGCGGUGAAAUGUGUUGAUAUUGGAAGGAACGCCGGUGGCGAAAGCGACACACUGGACCUUGUCUGACGCUGAGGCACGGAAAGCCAGGGGAGCAAACGGG
rnacentral:rRNA from 1 species